AAAGCUAAACAGAAAUUAAAUAAAACAUCCAGUCUGAUAGCAGUUGGAAUCUAAUUAGCAUUUCGCAUUUAAUGCAUCAAUUCUAAUCCCCAGAAAAGCGGUUUCUAAAACCCGUUAAUUUCCACUUUCCUUUUUACUUUCCACGCAGAGACCCUCUAUCAAACAACCAUCAAUCAGGUUCAUUUCUUCUCCGUGGAUCCAUCUCCAAUGAUUUUGGCUCAAGGACCUUUCCGACCAGGCACGCAAGGGCCUCUUCUGCAAAUGAAGAGGCCACCUCCCCGUGGACCUCUGUUUUGAAGGUGAGGACCUCUCCCGAAGCAUUUCUAGCCACCACCCAUGAGACUAAUUUUGCCUGAGAGUCAUCAAAAGCGGCAUUGAAAUUCAAUUUGACAAUGGAAUCAAUUGGUGGGCACCAACCUAUAGACUCAUGCCUCGUGAUCGCCCACAAAGAGCAACAAAAUACUCGACAUUGAAUGCUGGAACUGUUCUUGAACACCCAGGGCAUUCUCUGAAGAUAUGGUCAAUGUUUUCAUCAGCUACCCCACAUCUGGGAUAGACUACCUCUGAGAGCAAUCUCUUGCACCGAAGAUUAACAAAAUGGGGAAUAAAAUUCCAAGAAAUUUUCUAGAUUAGGAUUUUAAUUUUCACUGAAAUGUGAAUAUUCAAUAAUUUUUUUGUAAAAUAACUUAGCCUCAGUCUGUAAAUAAUUAAGAAUAAAGCCAUGUAAUAGUUUACAAGCACUUCUCACCGAGAUUUCUCUCUGGGCCUCCCCCUUCCAUACCGUGAAGUCCGCAUGAGGUUCCAUUGCUAAGGGAAUUCGUACAAUUCUAAUUAUUUCUUCUCUAGAGAAGGUAGAAUAAAUUAAAUCAGACUUCCAUUCUAUCUUUUGUUCAUUAAUAAGCUCUGCCACUUUACUUAGUUCACUGGAAUUCCUAAUUGAUUCUACCUUAUUGUCGAAA